CCGAACUUAGCUCAGUUGGUAGAGCGUUAGACUGUAGAUCUAAGGGUCGCUGGUUCAAUUCCGGCAGUUCGGA
rfam:Blastocystis sp. NandII AV274scaffold_14, whole genome shotgun sequence.